UGAUAUUCUCUUCUCUCAAAAUCCUCAUCUUCAUUCUUUUUUUCUUUCAGAUUCUUAAUCUCUUGUAUUUGUUUCUUCUUAUGAAGAACUUCAAAAGAAACUGGAAUUUGCUAAUCAGUGAAUCUGACUGAAAUUUUGGAGAGGUAUUUUUUUCAUUCUUCUCUUGGUUCAAAGAUUACAAGUUUUUAAAAAAAAUUAUGUUUAUGGUUUAAAUAUUCUUCGUUGCUAGGAUCAGGAACUUCAAAAAUUAUAUAAGGAGAUGACGUUCAUACAAAAAUGGAGGAAGAAUAGAAAUCUUAAGGAAUAUUGAUUAGUGGAGAAUUCUACAAUGCACAAGAAGGAUCUCCAUAUUUAUUUUCAUGGAAUAUUUUGUUCAAUCAUUUUCAUGGAAAAAUUUGUUCAAGGAAUAUUUUCUCCCUUUUAAUUUAUCUUCUUGUUUCUUUUGAGUCAUGUAAAUUUUUUCUUUGUAAAAUUUUAUUUUCAAAAGGAAAAUAAAAAAUGUUAAUGAAAAAUUAUUGUCUUUAAUUUAUAUAUUGACGAAAAUCAUUUACUGUACA
rnacentral:lncRNA from 1 species